rnacentral:rRNA from 1 species
ACUCCUACGGGAGGCAGCAGUAAGGAAUAUUGGGCAAUGGGCGGAAGCCUGACCCAGCCAUCCCGCGUGCAGGAAGAAUGCCCUAUGGGUUGUAAACUGCUUUUGCUUGAGAAGAAAAAGAGCCAUUUAUGGUUUUCUGACGGUAUCUUGCGAAUAAGCACCGGCUAACUCCGUGCCAGCAGCCGCGGUAAUAC